UACAUCAGCCCAGGUGACAAGUCCACC
rnacentral:piRNA from 1 species